rnacentral:rRNA from 1 species
UGGGGAAUAUUGGACAAUGGGCGCAAGCCUGAUCCAGCCAUGCCGCGUGUGUGAAGAAGGCCUUUUGGUUGUAAAGCACUUUAAGCGAGGAGGAGGCUACUUGGAUUAAUACUCUAGGAUAGUGGACGUUAUUCGCAGAAUAAGCACCGGCUAACUCUGUGCCAGCAGCCGCGGUAAUACAGAGGGUGCGAGCGUUAAUCGGAUUUACUGGGCGUAAAGCGUGCGUAGGCGGCUUCUUAAGUCGGAUGUGAAAUCCCUGAGCUUAACUUAGGAAUUGCAGUCGAGGGUGGGAAGCUAGAGUAUGGAAGAGGAUGGUAGAAUUACAGGUGUAGCGGUGAAAUGCGUGGAGAUCUGGAGGAAUACCGAUGGCGACGGCAGCCAUCUGGCCUAGUACUGACGCUGAGGUACGAAAGCAUGGGGAGCAAACAGG